UCCACACGACCGAGGCCCAAGUCGAGCCCAAGAAGCAACCUUUCCUUUCUCUGAAAAGAGAGAGCGCGCCCGCCGCCGCCGGGUUUGUUUGGUGCUCGACUGCUCGGCCUCCGUCUCCGUCUCCGGGUUUGUUUAGGCGGUUCGACCUCACUUGUUCUUGCGAGUCGGUUUCCAGAAUUCCAGGGAGUUGGGAGGAGAGACGCUCUCCUCGUCGAUCAGGGAGGAGUGGUCAUGGGGUCGUGGAGAACCCUCGCACGAUUUAACGAGGACAACCUCAUACCAUGCGUUGGAUUUGGCGACAGUCAGUUCUUAACCUGCCUACCCGGCCUCUGACUGUCUGGCUACUACGGUUUUUCUUUUGGAUUUUCCAGGUCACGCGCAGCCUCCAAAGAGGCAGUGGCAUCCUCUUCUGAGCCCACAGGAAAGGGAGACCGUAGAUGCAAUGGAUGCCAAAUAUUCCAGUGAUUAAAGACUGCUCUUGACUUGCCAUGAACCGAGUGUUUUGGUCAUGCAUACUGAGGUCUUCUGUGUGUCUGAAGUCUGAACACUGAAUCCAUCGAUUCUGCAGCGACUACCCACUUUCAAUUGUGCUUGUUGGGGUUUGUGGAUGCAGCACUGCCGGAGGGUAGCUUUUAAAAGCAUACUAACGAAUCCGAAUGCCAACUGAAGGAUGCUUUGCAGGUUUGAGCCUUCCAGUGGUUGCGAGUUUGUGGCACAUUUGGUUACUCCAGUGAGUCUCACCCUUGGGCCAACCUGCACGAGGAAAGCAUGUCUCAAACAUGAAAUACAGGCUAACAAUAACCCAAGCUUUACGAUUUGUCCAGACCUCCAAUCAAUUGCCGGCAACGCUGCCCCACGCUGAGCUCCAGCUGCUCGUCUUCUUUGCAUUGCUGGACUUGGUAGUGGUAGCGCGCUGCAGAAAUGGGCACUCCUGCCCACCUCCAAUCACCAAGAACCAUCUGUUAAGGUAGAAGAUGUAGGCGUGGAAGAGAAGUAAGAGCAGAGUGGCUGUUGGAAGCGACGCCAGGAAGACGGCGACAGACUGUAUUGAUUUCCAAAUUCUUGUUAUCGGAUUAUUACAGACUCCACGUAUUUAUACUUCUGCCAGGA